rnacentral:rRNA from 1 species
GAGGGGGUGCAAGCGUUAUUCGGGAAUUAUUGGGGCGUAAAGGGUGUGUAGACGGUUUAUUAAGUCGGUUGCUAAAUUCUCCAGCCUAACUGGGAGGCAUGCAUCCGAUACUGGUAGACUAGAGUAUGAAAGAGAGAAGCGGAAUUCUCGGAGUAGCGGUCAAAUGCGUAGAUCUCGAGAGGAACAUCAAUGGCGAAGGCAGCUUCUUGGUUCAUUACUGACGUUGAAACACGAAAGCGUGGGGAGCAAACAGGAUUAGAUACCCUGGUAGUCCACGCCGUAAACGAUGAUCACUAGACGUUAGUCUUGCUUUGCGAGAUUAGUGUCGUAGCUAACGCGAUAAGUGAUCCGCCUGGGGACUACGGUCGCAAGAUUA